rnacentral:lncRNA from 13 species
UCCUAAACGCUGGUAAAUGGCUCGCCGCACAAAUAAUGCAUAAACAGCUGUUUUGCCCAAGUUGGUGAAGAUAAUUCAACAUGUGAAUGCUCUGCUAGAAAAUGGGAGAAGUACCCAGCUCCAUCUCUUUCCCUCAAAAAGGCGCUGUGCUGCUCUGCACCCAUACUGCUCAACUCCUUCCAAUUCACCCCCCGUGACAGACUGCGGAUCAAGCCUGAUCUAUCCACCCAAACUGCCUGUCCUCAAAACUAAAGAUGAGACACUUGGUCAUUGCAUAAUCUCUCUGCAGCACUUAUUCUCUUUGGAGACAUUUGGUUUGUUUUACGAACACUUUGUUCAAAGGAUUACUUGAGCAAAGAUCUUAAAUAUUUACUCAAAACUGUAGCUGAUUCUCUGCAAAUAUAAAUCUUGCAUAACUUUAUGAAGUGAGAUGAAAUAUAUCCUUUUUACUCUGUUUUGCUUCAGGAUGAGGACUGCCUCUCUCUUGUUCAUAACAGAGCUACUAUGUGAGAUUCCAUUUUUAUGAUGUGCAGGGGCAAUUCCAUGGGAACGGAUUUGCGCUGAGAAUCAGAUUUUUCACUAAUGUACGCCAAACAAAACCCCUUGAUUUCAAAGUUGAACAAGCUCUUUGCACAAUGACUCCAUUUAGCAAUUUAGACUGAAAAAUGUACUAAAAAACAUUUACUGGAAGAACUUUGCCGUGCAAAUCUCCCUCAGUUUUUUGUUACCAC